CUGAGGCCUCCACACAGACACAGCAACCGACGGGCUGCCCCUCUCCUUACCGCAUGCUGCGACGCACCCACAUGAGCUGCAAGGAGGCACCCCGACAGGCACCGGUCCUGGUGUCUCUAGUCCCAAACCACUGGCGAGGGCAGCCCUCUGUCUCCUUUCAGCCUCAGCUCCCUGUCCUCAAAGUCCUCCAGGAGCUGGGGGCCGUGUCCUCUGGGAGGGGCACCAUGGCUGCAGCGUCUCACAAACCAGCCAUCGUGGAGAGACAAGAGCCCCUGGUGAAGCCUUAGCGGGUCUUCCCUCCCCUCCAGCAUGGAUCACUGCACAUUCACGCCUCCGGGACAGCGCCUUCUAGAAGUCAUCCUGAGGCCCUCACACAAAACCUGCCGGCGGCAAGCAGGAGACUCUCGUUCUUAGAAGGGCCUCGCUCACAGUAGGUUCACCAAGUGCGGAUUUCAUGAAUAAAGGAAAUUCGACCACCCUGUGGCAGUGCCAAAAAGUAAACUGAAUCCUCCGGAAGUUCGCUCCCGCCGUCCCAGGACCCGGAGGUGAGGAAGGAGGCAGAAACUCCUUUCAGAGCACUGCACCAAGAGCCCAAGGGAGCGCCCGCUGCAGAGUCCAGACAGAGAAACCCUGCAGGACAAAUGACCCAAGCCCUUCAAUAGCAACGACCCAAAAACCGCCAGAAAAGAAACCAAGAUGGAAGAGGAGGACCACCUAGAGGUUAGGAGUCUUGAAAGACCUAUGGACCCAUUGCACUGUCUGCACCUGAUUUUUGGUUUGUUUUUAGAGCUCUAGGCCUAACAUGGGGCUUGGACUCACGACCCUGAGAUCAAGAGUCGCGUGCUCUGUCGACUGAGCCCGCCAGGCGCCCCUGCACGCCCCUGGAUCCCGAUCCCGAUCCUGACCCGGACAAACAAACAGAAUUAGGAGAUGAUUAGGGAAAUGUGAACACUGACUAGCCUGACCAUACUAAAGAAACUGUUGAUUCUUUUUAGGUGUGACAGUGAAAUCGCAGUUAUGCUCUUCACAAUUCCUUAUCUUUAGAGAUGUGCCCAGAUAUAUUUACAGCUGAAAAGCUACAAUGUGGGGCGCCUGGGUGGCUCAGUCGUUAAGCUUCAGCUCAGGUCACGAUCCCAGCAUCCUGGGAUCGACCCCCACAUCAGGCUCCCCACUCCGAGGGAAGCCCACUUCUCUCUCUCCUACUUCCCCUGCUUGUAUUCCCACUCUCACUUUCUCUCCCUCUGCCAAAUAAAUAAAUAAAAUCUUAAAAAAAAAAAAAGGAAAGAAAGAAAAGCUACAAUGCUUGGAUUUUCUUCUAAACAACACAGCGUGGGUGGGCAGUGGGGGUAUGGAUGAGUCGAGACUGGCCGUAAGUUGGCAAACUACUGGCCCUGGUGAAGGGGGUUCCUUCUACAUGUGAAAUUCUCCACAGUGAAAAGGCAGAGAUAAAGGAAAGGGCCACCACCCGAAUAUCUGGACUUCACCAGCCUGCACUACCAGCCUGUAGGAGGAAUCUGACAGCGAGAAGCUGCCAUUUCCAUUCAG